UAAUGGGAGCUGGAAGAUGGCGCCUUGAGAGGACAUGGGAACCAGCGCCUUGCCCCAUGCAUCUCUUCCAUCUGACUGUUCCUGAGUUAUAAGCUGGUGAUCUAUUGCGUGCUUUCUCUUGGUGGCCCUGAGAGCCUCACUCUGCAGUAACAUAAAUCAAGUGCGUUUGGCUUGGAGGCAGCCAUCAGCUUCCUGUCCACAUGACAGAAUGGAGUUAACCUCAUCUGCAAGUGGCCAUCCUCUUCUCACUGAUUUUGAAUUGUUUGGUUAACUUGCUCUGGGAAGGAGUAUCAAUAAUUCAGCAUUAGCGGGCUGGCAUGUCACCUUGACAGAUGGAAACAGCGACAGAGCCAUCGAUUCCAGGGCAGUAGAGAAAUCUCCUCUCCAGCUCAGCUCUGUGGGAUGAGUGAGAAGGAGGGAUGGUUCCAGCCCAGUCAGGAAAGCCUGUCCAGGACCUCAGGACCACAGCCAAAUAUGCACCUGCACUGGUAUGUGCUUUCUCCUCCUGGAGAGAGAUGAACAGACCUGAGGGGGACCUGAGCACCUGAAGGAGCAUCCCAAAAAAA